rnacentral:rRNA from 1 species
UACAGAGGGUGCGAGCGAUGUUCGGAAUUAUUGGGCGUAAAGGGCGCGUAGGCGGUGCGGUAAGUCACCUGUGAAAUCUCCUGGCUCAACUGGGAGCUUGCAGGCGAAACUGCCGUGCUGGAGUGUGGGAGAGGUGCGUGGAAUUCCUGGUGUAGCGGUGAAAUGCGUAGAUAUCAGGAGGAACACCGGUGGCGAAGGCGGGUCUCUGGGCCGAUACUGACGCUGAGGAGCGAAAGCGUGGGGAGCGAACAGG